rnacentral:rRNA from 1 species
UACAGAGGGGGCAAGCGUUGUUCGGAAUUACUGGGCGUAAAGGGCGCGUAGGCGGAUCUUUAAGUCAGAGGUGAAAUCCCAAGGCUCAACCUUGGAACUGCCUUUGAUACUGGGGAUCUUGAGUCCGGGAGAGGUGAGUGGAACUGCGAGUGUAGAGGUGAAAUUCGUAGAUAUUCGCAAGAACACCGGUGGCGAAGGCGGCCAACUGGACCAUUACUGACGCUGAGGCGCGAAAGCGUGGGGAGCAAACAGG